UUCUAGAUGUUUUUAUUGAAUUAUAUUGAUGUUUUUAUUGAGGUAUGUUGAUAAUAUUGUUGUUGAUGUAUGUUUAUUAAUAUAUUUUUGUGUGUUAUUGUAUGAUGUAUUGAAUAGGUAUGUUAUUGUUUAUGUUAUUGUUAACGUUAUUACUUGUAUAUUGCAGUUUUCAUUUUGUUCAGUCAACAUGUUCUAGAAGAUUAGUUUAUUAUCUCAUAUAUGGUUUGAGUGUUUUACCAACAUCAAAUUAAAUAUAUAACAUUUC
rnacentral:lncRNA from 1 species